GUGCCAUACAGACUUAAGUCAUCCUUAUCCACAUAAUAGGUACAGCAUGUGCAACAGCAAUGCAGGUUUCCACCCUAUCUACCUCUGUGACUCAGCCCUGAACUACACAGGUUCCAUGUCCAUGUCCAUUGAGUCUGAGACUUCGCAAAGGGGUGACAAU
rnacentral:sRNA from 1 species